CCUACGGGAGGCAGCAGUGGGGAAUAUUGCACAAUGGGGGAAACCCUGAUGCAGCGACGCCGCGUGGAGGAAGAAGGUCUUUCGGAUUGUAAACUCCUGUUGUUUGAGGAAGAUAAUGACGGUACUCAACAAGGAAGUGACGGCUAACUACGUGCC
rnacentral:rRNA from 1 species